rnacentral:piRNA from 1 species
UUGUGCAGACCGAGUGAGAGU